UACAGAGGGGGCAAGCGUUGUUCGGAAUUACUGGGCGUAAAGGGCGCGUAGGCGGCCUGUUAAGUCGAACGUGAAAUCCCCGGGCUCAACCCGGGAACUGCGUCCGAUACUGGCAGGCUUGAAUACCGUGGAGGUCAGCGGAAUAUGUCAUGUAGCGGUGAAAUGCUUAGAUAUGACAUAGAACACCAAUUGCGAAGGCAGCUGGCUACACAAAUAUUGACACUGAGGCACGAAAGCGUGGGGAUCAAACAGG
rnacentral:rRNA from 1 species